AUUGAACGCUGGCGGCAUGCUUUACACAUGCAAGUCGAACGGUAACAGGCCGCAAGGUGCUGACGAGUGGCGAACGGGUGAGUAAUGCAUCGGAACGUGCCCAGUCGUGGGGGAUAACUACUCGAAAGAGUAGCUAAUACCGCAUACGAUCUAUGGAUGAAAGCGGGGGACCGUAAGGCCUCGCGCGAUUGGAGCGGCCGAUGUCAGAUUAGGUAGUUGGUGGGGUAAAGGCUCACCAAGCCAACGAUCUGUAGCUGGUCUGAGAGGACGACCAGCCACACUGGGACUGAGACACGGCCCAGACUCCUACGGGAGGCAGCAGUGGGGAAUUUUGGACAAUGGGCGCAAGCCUGAUCCAGCAAUGCCGCGUGCAGGAAGAAGGCCUUCGGGCUGUAAACUGCUUUUGUACGGAACGAAACGGCUCUGGUUAAUACCCGGGGCUAAUGACGGUACCGUAAGAAUAAGCACCGGCUAACUACGUG
rnacentral:rRNA from 1 species